GAAACCGCCUCCCUGUCUGUCAAAGUGGCCUCCCGAGGACACCCAGCGAGGCCACCAGAUCAUCAGUGGAGUAUCGGUGGCCUUAUUAAAACAAAAACAACAACUCCACAGCCCGGCGAGCGCAGCCCAAAGGGAUGAGAAGAUGGAUACGGCCCGGAGAUAAUGCACACCUCUCGUGGGGACAGUGUCCCCAUCCCCCUCCGGCUGCACUGAAGACCUGGAGCAACGGCUGCCAUCCAUGUGCGAGGACCCCUCGGAGGUUCCUCCUGCACAGACCUUGCUAAGGGUGAGGUGUUUACUAGAAGGAGCACCUUUUCUAGUUAAAAUCUAACUAGAUUCUCCUUGGCAACUUGUCUUACAGAAACAGGUAUAGACUAUCACCUUGCCCAGCUGGGCGCAUCUUCGGAGGGAGGCCUGGGGCCACGUGCACCUAAUGAAGGUGCCUGGGAGGGGGCUGGCUUUCCACUCAGCAAAUGCUUUCUUACAGAAAGACUGCGGGGAGAGUCCGUUUUCUUAGAGCCAUAUGAAGAAAUCCUAAAAACCAACUGCCCAAUCUCAACUCGUAACAGGGAACCUGGGGAGUGACAUCAGAGAUUCCCAAUGUUUUCCUCCUUGUUGAUCCCUGCGAUGAAGGCACUUGCCCAUGUGUAUUCUGUAGUAGGAGUUUGCAUUCUGAAACUGGUCUUUAUUAAAGAACAAACACAUUAUUUACAAAUU
rnacentral:lncRNA from 1 species